rnacentral:piRNA from 1 species
UGUGAACAGAUUACUGGAUGUCUAACACAU